rnacentral:rRNA from 1 species
UACGUAGGGGGCAAGCGUUGUCCGGAAUCAUUGGGCGUAAAGCGCGCGUAGGCGGCUCGAUAAGUCUGCUGUGAAAGUCCAGGGCUCAACCCUGGAAGGCCGGUGGAAACUGUCGGGCUAGAGUCCGGAAGAGGCGAGUGGAAUUCCCGGUGUAGCGGUGAAAUGCGCAGAUAUCGGGAGGAACACCAAUGGCGAAGGCAGCUCGCUGGGACGGUACUGACGCUGAGACGCGAAAGCGUGGGGAGCAAACAGG